AAUAUAAUGCUAUACUAGAUUUAUUUUGUCCUUUAAUGUUAUUGCAAUAGGAGAGAGAUUUUAUAAGGAUUAUAAAGAGGUGCAAAUAGUUCAAUUCUUUUUUUUUUAAAUUUUAUUUCUUAAGUUACGCUAUUUCUAGGCUAUGGUUGGGAAAAUUCCCCGAAUCCCAAUAGAGAUUCAGGAUUCUAGUCCUUUUGAGACCGGAUUCGAAAUAAAAUUUUGUCCUCAUUUACUAUUUAGGUUGAGAUUAGGACAUUUCAAAAUCUCAAAUGUCUUGAAAUUUGAAUUUUAAAAAUGUCUGACAAGUUAGUUUAAUGAAUUACAUGAUAUGACAAAUGGUUUUAAUUAAUAAUAUAUAUGAUAUGUUGGUUAAAUAGUCGUAUGACAUGUCAUUUUUGACAGAAUUUGCAACGUUUGAUAGAAUGUCAUUCGGGACAAUUUGGGAUCCCUAUUAGGACAAGGGAUUUCUUUUGGCUCGAUUUAUUGUCCAGGGUAGGAUCAAGAUUUACAAAUCUCGGCCCAUCCCAUCUUGAUGCCAACCAUACUCUAGGAUAUUCUAGUCUCUAUACAUAUAUGUUGUGUCUACUUGUCGGAGUUGGAGUAAGAGUAGAGUGUAGAUUUCUCCCACUCUAGCAUUUUACUUACUUGUUUAAGUAAGAGAGUGAGAGUUCGAAUCUAUGGGCCGCACUUAUUUUUGAAGUGAUGAGUGAGAUUCUAACUCUCAUGGAAGGAGGUGGAAGUGAAAAUUCAGUCCCACCUCU
rnacentral:lncRNA from 1 species